rnacentral:rRNA from 1 species
UACGGAGGGUGCAAGCGUUAUCCGGAUUCACUGGGUUUAAAGGGUGCGUAGGAGGGCAGGUAAGUCAGUGGUGAAAUCUCCGAGCUUAACUUGGAAACUGCCGUUGAUACUAUCUGCCUUGAAUAUUGUGGAGGUGAGCGGAAUAUGUCAUGUAGCGGUGAAAUGCUUAGAUACGACAUAGAACACCAAUUGCGAAGGCAGCUGGCUACACAUAUAUUGACACUGAGGCACGAAAGCGUGGGGAUCAAACAGG